rnacentral:rRNA from 1 species
UACAGAGGGUGCAAGCGUUAAUCGGAAUUACUGGGCGUAAAGCGCACGUAGGUGGUUGUAUAAGUCAGAUGUGAAAUCCUUGGGCUCAACCUGAGAAUGGCAUUUGAUACUGUAUGACUAGAGUAUGAUAGAGGGAAGUGGAAUUUCUGGUGUAGCGGUGAAAUGCGUAGAUAUCCGGAGGAAGACCGGUGGCGAAGGCGGCCUGCUGGGCAGUUUCUGACACUGAGGCGCGACAGCGUGGGGAGCAAACAGG